rnacentral:lncRNA from 1 species
ACAUUGGAAGGGGUAUUUGCAAGAAAUGUCUUGCAAAUGGUCAAGAACACACCUUUCGUAGGUGUUGUAAAUUGUUCUUGAAUAGUUCAAAACAGUUGGUUUUUCUACUUGAAUGCUUGAUUCCGUAUUAGUAACUAUGUUUUACAAUCGUUGUAAAAGUGUGGCUAAUAAGAAGUAGAAGAUUAAUGAGAGAAAAGAAAGUACUUCACAUUCGGAACGUGAAUCAAAUGUAGAUCUCUGCGAAAGCAGGUAGUACUUACUUCCUUAUAUGAACUACCAAAGAAAAUGGAAAAACAAAGAUUGUCUUUACAUUCCAAUUGAAUAAAGGAACUUAAUUCCGUAUGAGAAAUGGAUAAAUGUUUUGUUUGACAAAACAUUGUUCUUUAUUAAUGAAUGAUUAUAUUAUUGUAAUCUAAUUGAUUAUCUCUAUAGUAGAGAUGAUAUGGUGGUGUUAACUCUUUACAAUAUAACGAUGCUUAAAACCCAAAAGGUUGCAAGGUAGUGACUAAUCCCAACUGAGUUGUGAUACCUCUACAACAUAAAUUACGAGUUGGUCAUAGAUGGAUGCUUUGGAUCGUUAGAUCCGGAUCCAAUGCCUUCUUGUUAUAAUUAUAUAGAGGCAAAAUGUUUGAAUCUUUAUUCUUUUGGAAAUGAAGAAAGAAUCACAAAGUUGUUGAGGUUAAUUCACUUAGAUGUUGGUGGCACUUGUCCACAACAUAAUACUACUCAUGUUGUAUGACAUUCACCGAAGAUCGCUCUCAGUUGGACUAUCAUUUAUUUUGAAUAAACACAAGUCCGAAUACUUUGCAAAAGGUUUCAAAGAAUUCAAGAAAUGUAAGUAGAUGAGUAAGAUGUCUAAAGUAUUUACCUCCUUAGAUUUGAUCCAAGGAAAGGUAACACUUUAGAACAGUUUCCUUGAAAGAUAUCAAGGAAACAAGCAUCAUAUGAUAAUGGAUUUCUCCAUUAAGAGAAGAACGAACUCGAAUAAGAUUUAGUUCGUUGGAUGUUAUCAAUUACCCAUAUAUAUAGGAUAUAUACUUCUAAGACAAUAUGAUUGUCAAUUAGAAGAUCUUCCAAAAUUUUCAUGACUCCAUAGGAUGUAGUUGGAAAGAAAGACAAAUCUAAAUCGUGUUAAGAUUUGUGGUUGUGUGCUAAUAAGCAAUAUUUGUUUGAGAAUUAUCUUGUGGAUAUCCUUAAAUUAACCUUUGGAUAUCACUCUAUAAACCAACUAACAAAUGUUGUUUUGUUGGGUAGUUCAUUGUAAUCCUACAAUAUGAUUUGCCUAAGCGCAAAUGAACGAGAGAUAGAACUCAAAGAAUGGGUUCGUUGAGAGAUAAGAUGAUAAUCAACAAAUAUAACAACCUAGUUCCUACACCACAAGCUCCAAGGUAGUCGAGAAGGAUUU